AACAAUUCUGCCUCUCCCUAAAAACCAGGCAAGGAUGGGGAAGGGAAUGGAUGAUCACCCGGGCUGAGCACCCAUCUCAGCUCCCUCCUCUGCACCAUCACAUGCCACCACUACACAGCUCUCCUGGAGAAACACUAAUUAUAGCUCUCCAGCUAAAAACUUUAUUAUACACACACGUACAUAUGCCAGAUUAGCAGCACAGUGCCUUGAGAGAGCUCCCCAGACUCAAACUGAGCCAGAAAAUCAGCUCGUCAGGAGACGCUUUCAACUCCUUAACAAGAGCGAUCUGUGCUUCGCGACGCGUCCUCAAACCCUCGCCGGGAGCUGCGGGGAGCGACAGAUCCCGAAUUCCCGCCGGGAUAACGACCUUGCCCAACACGGCUACGGUCUCUGCCAGCCUCCAAAAAAAAUCCAACUUUACAGGGCUGCCCUUCUGAGCUCUACACUCGAGCACAUCUUUUUACAGGCGGAGAACAAACGCGGGCGGCUGUGCUCUGCCACCGCCGGAGGAUGACAAAAGACGAAGUGCCGAGGAUGUCCAGGAGUUGUGGAGUGCGUGUGGGGGGGGAAUACACGGAGGAAAGGCUGAGUUUGAUCACAGGAGUCCUAACGAGAGAGGGCAGCAGGAGAGACGUGCCUCUGUUUCUUGUCCGCGGCAGGGAUUGCUAACGGAAGGGCUGGAUUUAAGUGCAUCUCAAUCACAAGAUUGGGCUGCGCACAGGAAACUUUGAACAGCCAUAGGAAAAGACCACUCGGCUGCCCGGCCAUCAAUCGCUCAGCUUAUAAAAAUGCAGAUUUAAUAACCGAUUAAAAGAAUAUUAAAAAAUC